rnacentral:rRNA from 1 species
UACGAAGGGGGCUAGCGUUGCUCGGAAUCACUGGGCGUAAAGCGCACGUAGGCGGGUCCUUAAGUCAGGGGUGAAAUCCCGGAGCUCAACUCCGGAACUGCCUUUGAUACUGGGGAUCUUGAGUCCGGAAGAGGUGAGUGGAACUCCGAGUGUAGAGGUGAAAUUCGUAGAUAUUCGGAAGAACACCAGUGGCGAAGGCGACUCACUGGCCCGAUACUGACGCUGAGGCGCGAAAGCUAGGGGAGCAAACGGG